rnacentral:rRNA from 1 species
UGAAUACGAGAUGCUACGGCGUCGAAGCAGUCUAUGUCAUACUUCCAAGAAAAGCUCGCACUGUCAUAAACAAAUAAUGCCUGUACCAUAACCGACACAGGUGGGUAGGUAGAGUAUACUAAGGGGCGCGAGAUAACUCUCUCUAAGGAACUCGGCAAAAUGACUCCGUAGCUUCGGGAGAAGGAGUGCCUUAUUUAUAAGGUUGCAAUAACAAGAUCCAAGCAACUGUUUAUCAAAAACACAGGUCUCCGCUAAGUCGUAAGACGAUGUAUGGGGGCUGACGCCUGCCCAGUGCCAGAAGGUUAAAGAAGUUGGUUAGCAUUCGCGAAGCUGAUAACUGAAGCCCUGGUGAACGGCGGCCGUAACGAUAACGGUCCUAAGGUAGCGAAAUUCCUUGUCGGGUAAGUUCCGACCCGCACGAAAGGCGUAAUGAUUUGGAUACUGUCUCGGAGAGGGGCUCGGUGAAAUAGACUUGUCUGUGAAGAUGCGGACUACCUGCACCAGGACAGAAAGACCCUAUGAAGCUUUACUGUAACUUGAGAUUGAAAUUGGACUUUACUUGCGCAGUAUAGGUGGGAGGCGUUGAUAAUAUUCUUGCGGGAUUAUUUGAGCCAUCAGUGAGAUACCACCCUUGUAAUGUUAGAUUUCUAACUUUGUAUCAUUAUCUGGUCAAAGGACAGUUUCAGGCGGGCAGUUUGACUGGGGCGGUCGCCUCCUAAACGGUAACGGAGGCGCACAAAGGUUUCCUCUGAACGGGUAGAAAUCGUAUCUAGAGUGUAAAGGCAUAAGGAAGCUUGACUGUGAGACCUACAAGUCGAGCAGGGACGAAAGUCGGUCUUAGUGAUCUGACGGUGCUGAGUGGAAAGGCCGUCACUCAACGGAUAAAAGUUACUCUAGGAUAACAGGCUGAUCUCCCCCAAGAGUUCACAUCGACGGGGAGGUUUGGCACCUCGAUGUCGGCUCAUCGCAUCCUGGGGCGGUAGUACGUCCCAAGGGUUGGGCUGUUCGCCCAUGAAAGCGGUACGCGAGCUGGGUUCAGAACGUCGUGAGACAGUUCGGUCCAUAUCCGGUGUAGGCGUUAGAAUAUUGAGAGGAGCCUUCUUUAGUACGAGAGGACCGAGAAGGACAUACCCCUGGUGUACCAGUUAUCGUGCCAACGGUAAACGCUGGGUAGCUAUGUAUGGAGUGGAUAACCGCUGAAAGCAUCUAAGUGGGAAGCCCACCUCAAGAUAAGUAUUCUC